rnacentral:lncRNA from 10 species
AGGGAACCCUCCAGAGCUGUGGCUGAGCUAAGCUGCAGGAGAGGACCAGAGGACAAGAGCUGCAGGCAUGGGCAGAGGAAAGCAGCCACUGGCACCCCAUGCCCAGCAAGGAAAGCAGGAGAGGAGCUGGAACUUUCCCGUUUGGCUCUGUCAGCCAAGUGCAGCUUUCAAGUUCUCUAGGGACUGCUGUAUUUUCUCAUGACAUAUGCAGUGUGCUGGGUUGAUAGCGUUUCUCUCAGGUUCCGACUUCAGAUCUCCGGCUCCUCUUUCACUGGACGGAUUCCAAAUACUACAACUCCCUGUGUGACAGCUGGAGAAUCACUGCACCUUUCUGGGCCCCAUUGAGUGACAGAAGAUCGGAAUGGAUAGUCACAUGCCUGCCCCAGCGUGGAAGGAGAAGAGCCUAUACUUCCAUCCAUUCUGGCCUCUUCCAAGUUCCCCUCAUUUUUCUCUCUAAGAUCAAAUAAAUAAACAUGUUGUUAUUCUUUUUAUACAUU